GGCGCCGAGGCUGAAGCUGCCGAGCGCGAUCCGCCAUGCCGUUUGCACCGCGCGGAACGCGUGGAGGGGCGCACCGAACUCGGCGCUCCUUUUCGCCGCUUGCCGCCGUAGACCCUUCCCCUUCUCAGAUUCCUGCUGGCCCCCUUGCCUUUUCUCCUUCCCCGACCACCGUCGGCCCUCCUUCCGGCCCAAGGUAUCGGACCCUCCUCUCGGAUACGAAUCGCGGCGGGCAACGGCAACCCUCGGAACUCUUGUGGUGCCCUGCUCCCUGCAUCCAUCCGUGGCGCACUCACGACGCCCUCGGCGACUCCUGUGGCCCGCCCUCACGACGACAUCGUCUCCGGCUGCGCGCCUUGCUACUUGAGUUGGGGAGAGGCAAUCACAGCAGCAGGAACAAGAAAAAAAUGAUUCCAUAUUUAGCAAGCUUCAAACCCAGAUUAAGAACAAGAAGUUGACAGUUGAUGUCAAGGACUCAAGGCUAGCUCAGAAUACCUAUGAUGCUCCUAAUAAGCUAGAAGCGUAACAAAUGUAAGAUGUUGUUGCUGGUAUGGACACCUCCACCUAUCAUGCUCUCAACGUGUUUGAGGAAAUGGGUGCAAGAUACCUUAUGGAUCACACCAGCGUGGUGCUUCUUGAGGGAUUGAGUAGCUUCUCAAAUUAGGCUAUGAAGAAGAGCUAUCUGAUGUGCUGCCAAAAUGAAAGAAGCCUGAGGUUCAGGGUAGAGCUUUGAGUGGAUCAGGUUUUGGAGAAGAAAAAGCUUCAGUUUGGAGAGCUUUCUCUUUAAGUCCACAAGAUUGAAAUUGGACAGUUUGGAGAGUCUCAUUCAACCUUAAAUCAGCUCCUAGGUGGUGGCAGUUGGGGACUCGAGCGCGCGAGGGAGGCAAAGAGAGCAGAUGCGGAUGGAGCGUGGGGGAUGAAUGUGGUUGUGUAGCAAUAGUUUGGCCUGGAACAAUGUAAUGGCUUUGUAUGUCUGAAAUUUAUACGUAGCGUUAACACGAGCACACUUAUUAUUACACAUAAAUAUUACAUAUGUUGUUUUUUU